CCUUUGACCAACUUUAGCGUAUAUCUCACUCUGUCUCUCUCUCUCUCUCACACACACACAGGGGGUUUCAAAUUUUUUGAUUUGCGGACCCCUUUAUAUUUCAGGCUUUACUCUUAUAAACGCUUAUGAAAUUUAUACAUAAAUAUUUGCUUAAAAUAACAUAUAUUUUUACAUUUAUUGAUUUAACAGUAUUUAACAAACAGGUUUAUUGUCAAUUAAAAGAUUUCGAUUAAAAAACAUGUAUAAGAUCAAAUUGCCCAUAAAAAGUAUUUGCUGUCCACGGACCCCCUGUCUUGUCCUUGCGGACCACAGUUUGAAAAUCGCUGUGCUAGAUGAAGGUUACCUGAUGAAGGCAUUGAUGGAACAUUAAAUAAUGUAGUCCUAGAUACACUGUAUCAAAAUAAAUGACAGGGUGGCGAUAGUUGGAUGGCUUCUGAAGGUAGAUCAGUUAGAACAUGACUGACCAUGGUUUAACCAAUAAAAAGCACAUGAAAUUUUGUAGUCUUCAAUACCCUAAGACUGAAAAAAAGACGGCCUUUUGGUCCAAAGGGAAGUUUUGUUUUUAUUGUUAAAAUUCAUCCGAGUUUCCGUUAGGACGAACUUACAGAUCGUAUCCCGAAUUUUGCCGUCAAACGUAACAAUUCCUACGAGUGCUUCGUAACGCGAGGUUGCUUGGUCGCGCGCAAGUGUAUACACACACACACACACACACAUACAUUAGCGACAGAAGUGAUACAAACAGGGAAACAGAACACAAAACACGAGUAUAAACAUAUUUUUCAUUAUUAUUGAGCAACGUUUGGUAAGUGUCAAUAUACGAAACUUUCGGACCUUGAAUCACUCAGUAAUUUCUGCUGAUUUAAUAAUAAGAUAUGUACAGGCAUACCUCAGUUUACGUCGGCAACUGGCUGGAAGACAUUCGACUUAAUUCGGAAAACUACGUUAAAAGAAAAUUUAUUGCUUUAUAUCUGUUUUACUAAAUAGUGUGUACAUAUUUUCAUAUGUAUUUCAUUGGAUUUUUUUUACUUCAGUAUCGGCUUUUAGGUGUUUUUUUAAAAAAUAUUUAUGUAUUUAAAAUAUAUUCGCUGAGACCGACGUAAAGUCGAUAAAGACGUAACUCGAAACGGCGUUAGUUGUGAUGUGUGUGUAUGUGAAAUUAACGUGCAAGUGGCUGAGCACUCCACAGACACAUGUACCCUUAACGUAGUUCUCGGGGAUAUUCAGCGUGACACAGAGUGUGACAAGGCUGACCCUUUGAAUUACAGGCACAACAGAAACAGGAAGAAAGAGUGAAAGAGUACAGCAGGGUUCGCCACCAUCCCCUGCCGGAGCCUCGUGGAGCUUUAGGUGUUUUCACUCAAUAAACACUCACAACGCCCGAUCUGGGAAUCGAAACCGCGAGUCCACUGUCCUAACCACAAGGCCAUUGCGCCUCCAUCUACAUACAUAUAUAUAUACACACACACACAUAUGAAGACAUAAAAUUAAAGCAGUAAAUAUAAUGCUGUCUUUUGGUUGGUCGAAAUAAAGUCAAAUUUUAUCCAAUCAAAUCACUCCGAUUGACAAAUAGCGGUUUAUACAAACUUUCUACGGAGGACCGUCAAGAUGUGGAUUAAUCACAGAUCAUCGACUUAUUGAUUGUCAUCGAAUUUACUGAUUAUAUAUCGGAGAUAACAUUUACAGAAACCAAAAUGAGCGGAGACGCUUUUAUGAACACCCUCCGCAAUUUGCAGUAUCCUAAAGCGGAGAAGCUGAGCGCUCAAUUCUUUGAUCGUCACUUUGCCAACCAAGAGGCAACUCGGUCGUUUAUCACCUGGUUUUGCAAGACCCUUAAUUCCAAGCAUGUGGUGGCCCCUACAGAAAUGCAAAGGUUUGAUCAACUGGUAGAUUCUGGUGCCGAAAUUCUUGAAGGGAGUAAAUUGUCUGAAGCUUUAGUAGACAUGAAAAAGAAAAAGGAACUUCUUGCAUCAAAGGAAAAACUGCU